UUAUUCGAGUGCUACAUUCUCACUAAACGUUCUUUUCGGUUCGAGAAUAAAUCAGAGUUCGAAAAGGUUAUUUUGGUGAAUAUUCCGAAGUUUCCUAACGAAGGCAUGAAAAUAGCAAUUUACGAAACUUAAUAUAUUAAGAUAGGAAAUAAGUACGAUUCAUAAUGAAAAACGAGUUCAAAAGUACGAAAGGGAAAUGUUACGGUUUUAGGGUUACACCACCAAAAGAAAAUAACCAAAAUCCUAGCAUUCGUUCAUAGGUCCUCGUACGUCUUCCAAAAUCCCGGGCAAGACCUCGAUCCACUACUCGAUCCAUCCCGGUUGAGGAUUACUACUACCUGCAAUUAAAAGACAUCUAUAUGAGCUAUAAAGCUCAGUAAGAAAUCCGAGUACUAUCAAACUUUGGAAAUACGUUAUAUAUAUAAUAUAUAAUAUUGUAUACCCGUUCUUACCCACGUUUCAUACAACAACACAAAUCAAUCGGUCAAAUCACAUAUCUCACGAAAGCACAUCUUUUCACAAGAUUACGUAAUUAUGCAAAAUGACGAAAAUGCCCUUUUUGUGAAAAUCAUGAAAACACAUUUUUCGGUUUAUCGGAUCCGUGAAAGAUUAAUUUCUGUACUGGAUAAUAAACCUGUUACGAGCCCGUUUUCACUAAGUGGAAUCAAACCACUACCACAUCAUCCUAGUUGGAUACCGGCCCACUAUAUCCGAGUUGUUUAUUACCCGAUAUUCCAUUAAUCUUUCAAACAAAAAUCAUUUAAUGCAACUUUUCGAAAUUAUGCUCAUGACCCACACAUAACAUCACAAAUGUCAAUCAAGUGCCACAAUUCACACAAAUACCACAAUUUACCACAUAUUUAUGAUUUGAGCAAAAAUCUCAAUUUCACACACAUAAACACACAACCACACACGGCACACACACCAUGCACAAUCAGCACCCACACAUUCACACAUUUUCAGCAUACACCCAUGCACCAUCAACACAUUAAACUUCACCAAUUACUCAUCAAAGCAAGCUCAAGAACAAAACACCUUUUUACCUUUAUUUAAUGGACUUAUUACCACAUCUAGGUAAUAAUCCAUUUCAAUCAAUUUCCACAGCCAUUAAACACAUCCAACAGUAAUUAAAGUACCAAAAUACCAAAAUUCAUCACUCAUCACCAUUAAAUCAAGAACAUAAACAUUAAAGCACAUAACAUGUUAAAUGAUAUGCAAAUUGUCCUAAUUUCGAAAUAUUAGCAAACCAAUUCCAAAAAUUCUCAAAUUAACUCCUAAAACUCCUAACUGACCCAAGUUUCGAAUUCUGAAAUUAUUUUCAAGUUUCACAUAGUUUCGAAUUUCCUUGAAAUAAAAACUAGAAAAAUUCCAUUUUCACAAAAAUAAUCAAAAACUCUAAUGUAACUCUAUUUGAUUUACAAACUUGCUAAAUAAAACUUUUUCUUAAUUAAUAACUGUUGUAAAAACAGAUUCAAACCUUAAGAAUGAGAGAAUUUUCGGAAAUUUCAAUUUUGACCCAAAAGUUUCGAAAUUUACACAUGCAACCACACUAGAAGUUCAAAAUCACCUUUUUCUUGAAAACCCCUAACAAAUCUGAAAUUCCACUUUAUUAGAUGCAGAAAAAUGAAUUUGAAAAGUCUCUUUAUGCAGAAAUUUCGGAAAUUGCCUAAUUUGCCCCAAAAUCUCUAGAUCUACACAUGCAAGUCUAUUAAAACUUCAAAAUCAACUUUUUCUUACAAAAAUUCUUUAAAUCCGAAAAUCUUGUUCAAUAAAUGCUGGAAAACAGUUUUGAAAACCUUUUUCGGACAAACUUUACAAAAAUUACAGAUUUGGCCCAAACUUUCGAAGAUCUACACAUGCAACCACAAAAAGUUAAAAAUCUCAUUUUCUUGAAAAACCCCUUUUUGAAAUCUGAAAUUCUCAAGGCUUUUGGCCAAUAAAUGCUAUAUCUAACCACUACUAACAUGGAUUAUGCAUGCAAGAACAAGAAUUUAACAAGAACACUCAUUUUCCCAUUUUUCUUCAAAAAGCCCUAAGUUUUCGAAAUCUUUCCCAAUCUUUUAGAAACUUUGAAAAUCCUUUUAAUACUAUUGAUGCCAUUUAAUUGCAGCAGGAAAUCGAAAUUUCUUACCUUUAUGGAAUAGAAAAUAAAAGGAUUCAAGAAGGCUUCAAGAAAUUCUACUAUAGUGGAGAUGUGGGUUUUAUGGAGUUUUUGGAAGAACUCAAGAGAUAUGGCUAUGGAGAUGAUUUAAAGAUGAGAAAUAUUAUCUUGAAGGACUUAUGGUGGAAAGAUGGAAAUUUUGGGUAGUAUUUCUUGGUGGGGUUUGUGGGGUUGCUUUGGCCGAAAGAAAACAAGAGAGAGAGAGAGAAGUGUUCUUCAUAUUCUUGGGUUGGGAGAAUGAUGAAGGUGGGUUACGGUAAUAGGAUAAAAAGAGAGAUAGAAAUAGCUUAGUCAUUCUUACUAGGGGUGAUUAGUAGACAAGUGUAGUGGCUAUGCCACACAAAAGGAGGAAGUGACAAGUGGAAGAAACAUGCAAAAUAUAACUAAUUUAUUUAUUUAAAAUACCCAACUUGCACACUACCCACACACACAAUCCGGACACACACACACAUUCGGUUAUAUAUAUAUAUAUAUAUAUAUAUAUAUAUAUAUAUAUAUAUAUAUAUAUAUAUAUAUAUAUAUAUAUAUAUAUAUAUAUAUAUAUAUAUAUAUAUAUAUAUAUAUAUAUAUAUAUAUAUAUAUAUAUAUAUAUAUAUAUAUAUAUAUAUAUUUACGAAAAUUUAAAUCAUAUAAUCACACAUAUAAAAACGCAUGUAAGUAUUCACGUAAGUAGCAUAAUUAAAUUCACGUAAUGCAUAUAAUCACGUAAUAAUAUUUCCUAAGGGUUUUCUCGAGUUAGGAAUAUUAAUCCCGGGUUUUAGGAUUUUCGGGUUUUGGAAAGGUGGGGUGUUACAAUCUCCCCCCCUUAAAGAAAUUUUGUCCCCAAAAUUGUUACCUGAACAACUCGGGGUAUCGCUCGCGCAUUUCUUCUUCUCGUUCCCACGUGGCUUCUUCGGGUGUAUGGUUUUGCCAAAGGAUUUUAACGAAUUUAAGGUCUCGGUUUCGAAGGGUUUUGGUUUUGAAAUCAAGUAUUUGAGAAGGUUUCUCUUCGUAGGAUAGGUUGGGGUUUAGUUCGACCGGUUCGGUUUUCAAUAUGUGGUCGGGGCUGUGAAUGUAUCUUCGAAGCAUCGAAACGUGAAAGACAUUGUGAAAGUUGGAUAAGUUGGGUGGUAAGGCGAGUCGGUAGGCGCGAGUACCAAUUUUGUCGAGAAUUUCGAAUGGGCCAAUAAAUCGCGGUGCUAAUUUUCCCUUUUUCCCAAAUCGCAUAAUUCCUUUGAAAGGCGCCACUUUUAAGAAUACGGAGUCUCCGACUUCGAAUUCGAGGUCUCUCCUUCGAGUAUUGGCAUAGCUUUGUUGCCGAUCUUGGGCAAUUCACAUUUUCUCUCGGAUGCUUUUGAUGAUAUCGACGGUUUGUUGGACUAGGUCGGGACCAAGGAAUUUUCUUUCGCCGAUUUCGUCCCAAUGGAGUGGGGACCUACACUUGCGACCAUAAUGGGCUUCGUAGGGUGCCAUUCCAAUUGACGAGUGAAAGCUAUUGUUGUAUGCGAAUUCGAUUAGUGGAAGGCGGGAUUCCCAAUUUCCUCCAAAAUCGAGAAUACAAGCGCGGAGAAGAUCUUCUAGGGUUUUGAUAGUUCGUUCGGAUUGACCGUCGGUUUGGGAGUGAUAGGCGGUGCUGAAUUUUAAUUGCGUUCCAAGGGUUUCGUGUAAGCUUUUCCAAAAUUUUGACGUGAAUCGAGGGUCUCGGUCGGAAAUAAUCGAGACGGGGAUGCCGUGGAGUCGGACUAUUUCGCGGACGUAUAGCUCGGUUAGCUUUUCUAGACUCAACGUCAUUCGGAUCGGGAGAAAGUGAGUCGUUUUGGUCAGUCGGUCAACGAUCACCCAAAUGGCGUCGGAUCCUCUUUGGGUCUUCGGAAAUCCUUGCACGAAGUCCAUUGUGAUAGCUUCCCAUUUCCAUUCCGGAAUUAGAUUCGAUUGAAGUAAACCUCCGGGUCUCUGAUGUUCCGCUUUGACUUGUUGGCACACUAGGCAUUCUGCUACGAAUCAGGCCACGUCUUUCUUCAUUCCAGGCCACCAGUAGAGCUUUUUUGAGGUCUUGGUACAUUUUGGUUUCUCCGGGAUGGCAAGUGUACGUGGUUUGGUGAGAUUCGGUUAAGAUGAGUCGGCGAACAUUUGGAUCAUCGGGGACGUAAAUGCGAUUUUGGAAUCGGACGAGACCAUCUUUGGAGAUUUGAAAAUUGGGACUGGAUUCGAGGUUAUCGCGAAUUUUGAGAAUUUGCGGAUCGUUUUGUUGGGCUGAUUUGAUCGAUUCUCCCAAGUUAGGUUGGACUACGAGCGCGUUGAUCGAUUUGCGGCUAAGUGCGUCGGCGACUACAUUUGCUUUGCCGGGGUGGUAGAGUAUCUCGCAGUUGUAGUCUUUGACUAGUUCGAGCCAUCUUCGUUGCCGCAUGUUCAAGUCCUUUUGAGUGAAGAAAUAUUUCAGACUCUUGUGAUCGGUGUAGAUGGUGCACUUUUCGCCAUAGAGGUAGUGUCGCCAGAUUUUGAGUGCGAAAACGACGGCGGCUAAUUCGAGAUCGUGCGUUGGAUAAUUGCGUUCGUACUCUUUGAGUUGACGUGAGGCGUAGGCAAUGACCUUUCCAUUUUGCAUAAGUACGGCGCCUAGACCUAAUUUCGAGGCAUCGCUGUAGACUAUGAAUUCUCCGACUUUCUCUGGUAGUGCGAGAAUUGGUGCCGAGGUGAGUCGAGCCUUCAAUUCAUUGAAACUGGCGUCGCAUUCGGGAGUCCACUGAUACUUGACGUCUUUUCGAGUCAAUCGGGUGAGUGGAGAGGCAAGCUUUGAGAAAUCCUUUACGAAUUUGCGGUAGUAGCCGGCUAGUCCAAGGGAAACUUCGAAUUUCCUUCGCAUUCUUCGGAAUUGACCAAUUUGACACGGCUUCUAUUUUGCUGGGGUCGACGGAGAUUCCUUGUUCUGAAACAAUGUGACCAAGGAAAGCCACACUCGAAAGCCAGAACUCGCAUUUGCUGAACUUGGCGUAAAGUUGGUGCGAUCGGAGGGUUUGGAGUACGGUACGAAGGUGAGACAUGUGAUCUUCUUGGGUUUUGGAGUAGAUGAGAAUGUCGUCGAUAAAAACAAUCACGAACUGGUCCAAGUAUUGAUGAAAGACUCGGUUCAUAAGGUCCAUGAAAGCUGCGGGGGCGUUCGUUAAGCCGAAGGGCAUGACGACAAAUUCGUAGUGGCCGUAUCGGGUUCUGAAAGCCGUUUUGGGGAUAUCGGAUUCUUUGAUUUUGAGUUGGUGAUAGCCGGAUCGGAGGUCGAUUUUCGAGAAGACCGAUGAGCCUUGGAGUUGGUCGAAAAGAUCAUCGAUUCGAGGAAGAGGGUAUUUAUUCUUGUUCGUGAUUUUAUUGAGUUCACGGUAGUCUAUGCAAAGGCGGAGGGAUCCGUCCUUCUUUUUGACAAAGAGAACCGGUGCUCCCCACGGUGAAUGGCUGGGUCGAACAUAGCUUUUGUCGAGCAAUUCUUGGACUUGGUCCUUUAGUUCCUUCAAUUCCAUCGGGGCCAUACGGUACGGUGCUUUGGAAAUUGGCGCGGCUCCGGGGAUUAGGUUGAUUUCAAACUCGAUUUCUCGAUCGGGCGGAAGUCCGGGAAUGUCAUCAGGAAAUACGUCGGGGAAUUCUUGGACAGCUCGAAUGUUGGAAAUUUGCGCUUUGGGAUCGGACUCGGAUUUUAGAAUAUCCACUAGGUAGCCGGAAUGACCCUUGUGAAUGAGUUUGACUGCUUUGAUCGCGGUUAUGAUUGGAAUUGAGGGUUUGAGUUGACUUCGAAAUUUUGGGGUUUCGCCAUUCGGAAGAGGAAAAAUGACCGUUUUGGAGGCACAGUCAAUUUGGGCUUUGAAUUUGGUUAACCAAUCCAUGCCUAGUAUAACUUUGAAAUUUUGGAUCGGUAAGAGGAUUAGGUCGAAAUUCAUGGGUUGAGUGUGAACUCGGAUUGGGCAAUUGAGUAUGACUAGGUUAGAGCACAUCUCUUCGCCAGAGGGAAUGAGAAUUCGGUAUUCGUAAUUUAAUCGGUUUGGUUUGAGAUUUAAGUGCACAAUUAUAUCUUUCGAUAUAAAGGAAUGAGUAGAGCCGGAAUCGAUAAGAGCAUAAAUGGGUUCUUCGAGGAUAAAUAUGGUACCUGCUAUCAUCGACGGGUCUUGCUCGAUCUGUUCUUGAGUCAUGGCGAACACUCGACCCGGGACGUUCGGUGGAGGUUUUGGGCAGUCUUUCACCAUGUGUCCGGGCUGAUGGCAUCGAAAACAGCUUCGUGUUCCGUGUACGCAUUCUCCGGAGUGACUCUUUCCACACUUUGGGCAGGUUGGCCUUGGUGGCGGUGGUCCGGUUGGUUGGCGAAUGGGCUGCGUUCCUUUUCCUCGGAAUGGGCGGUUGCCGAAAUUGUUCUUUUUCCACGGCCGUUGAGUAAUUCCUUGUGGUCGGCGGCUAUUUUGAAUAUCUCGUUCGUCUUGGGCAGCCAUGAGUGCCUUGUCUACGAGUUGGCUGAAAGUUGAGGCGUCGGACAUACGAAUGUCUCUACGGAUUUCGGGUUGGAGGCCACGAAUGAAGUGGUUCUUCUUUUCUUCAGCGUCUCGAGCGAUGAAUGGAGCGUAGAGGCAGCCACGUUCGAAACGGCGGAUGUACUCGAUCAUCGGUAAGUCGCCUUGUCGGAGUUCGAGAAAUUCCUUGAGUUUGUGGGCUCGCACGUCUUUCGAGAAAUAUUUUUCGAAAAAUUGAACUUUGAAAUCGGUCCAUGGCAAAGUUUCGAGGUUUGUUCCUUCUUUGAUUCCUUCCCACCAGUUACGAGCUUCGUUUCGGAGGAGGAAGAUGGCACAGUGCACGCGGUCGCGGUCGGUCAUUUGCAUGUAAUCGUAGAUGACUUCGAGAGAUUUGAUCCAUUCUUCGGCUACAGUGGGGUCGGUUCCACCGUGAAAUUCGGAUGGGUUCAUUCGGAGAAAUCGUUCGUAUAUGGCUUGAGGCGCAUUAUUUUGAGGCGGGUUUUGGUUACGUUGGAGAAGUUGUUCGAUUUGACGUUGGUGGUUUUGGGCUUGUUCUCGGAUUAAGUUGGAGAGAUUAUUAAUGGUUUGAUUGGGGUCGUGCGGUUCAUCAGCAGGAUUGCUCGGGUUCGCUCGGGUUAUUCGUCUUGCCAUUAUGUCUAUAUUAAUUAUCAUUAAUAAGUAAAGCAAAUAAAACACAUAAGGAAAAUAAUACACAUACUUUACCGGGUGGUCCGAGUUUUGCGUCUCGAGUAGUCUCUAAGCCCGUGAAGUUCGUACGAGUAUCUAUGAACAAUGCUCUGAUACCACUCUCUGUAGCACCCCCCUUCUAGUCGGGCGAUAAAUCGAACCGGUUUAUCGGAAUUUCUAUUAAAGUAGCGGAAGCAAAGGAUCUCUUUGUAAUUUUUGAAACGUUGGGAUGGGGUGAAAAUGCAAUUAUCGAAACUUUGUUCUUUUGGGUAUUGAAGGCUUUGCAUUUUCGAAAACUUUAUUGAAUUGAUUUAGUCGAAUAUACAUCUCGGUUUGGAAAUAAGUUUCGAAAGGAGGUUUCUUAUUCGAGUGCUACAUUCUCACUAAACGUUCUUUUCGGUUCGAGAAUAAAUCAGAGUUCGAAAAGGUUAUUUUGGUGAAUAUUCCGAAGUUUCCUAACGAAGGCAUGAAAAUAGCAAUUUACGAAACUUAAUAUAUUAAGAUAGGAAAUAAGUACGAUUCAUAAUGAAAAACGAGUUCAAAAGUACGAAAGGGAAAUGUUACGGUUUUAGGGUUACACCACCAAAAGAAAAUAACCAAAAUCCUAGCAUUCGUUCAUAGGUCCUCGUACGUCUUCCAAAAUCCCGGGCAAGACCUCGAUCCACUACUCGAUCCAUCCCGGUUGAGGAUUACUACUACCUGCAAUUAAAAGACAUCUAUAUGAGCUAUAAAGCUCAGUAAGAAAUCCGAGUACUAUCAAACUUUGGAAAUACGUUAUAUAUAUAAUAUAUAAUAUUGUAUACCCGUUCUUACCCACGUUUCAUACAACAACACAAAUCAAUCGGUCAAAUCACAUAUCUCACGAAAGCACAUCUUUUCACAAGAUUACGUAAUUAUGCAAAAUGACGAAAAUGCCCUUUUUGUGAAAAUCAUGAAAACACAUUUUUCGGUUUAUCGGAUCCGUGAAAGAUUAAUUUCUGUACUGGAUAAUAAACCUGUUACGAGCCCGUUUUCACUAAGUGGAAUCAAACCACUACCACAUCAUCCUAGUUGGAUACCGGCCCACUAUAUCCGAGUUGUUUAUUACCCGAUAUUCCAUUAAUCUUUCAAACAAAAAUCAUUUAAUGCAACUUUUCGAAAUUAUGCUCAUGACCCACACAUAACAUCACAAAUGUCAAUCAAGUGCCACAAUUCACACAAAUACCACAAUUUACCACAUAUUUAUGAUUUGAGCAAAAAUCUCAAUUUCACACACAUAAACACACAACCACACACGGCACACACACCAUGCACAAUCAGCACCCACACAUUCACACAUUUUCAGCAUACACCCAUGCACCAUCAACACAUUAAACUUCACCAAUUACUCAUCAAAGCAAGCUCAAGAACAAAACACCUUUUUACCUUUAUUUAAUGGACUUAUUACCACAUCUAGGUAAUAAUCCAUUUCAAUCAAUUUCCACAGCCAUUAAACACAUCCAACAGUAAUUAAAGUACCAAAAUACCAAAAUUCAUCACUCAUCACCAUUAAAUCAAGAACAUAAACAUUAAAGCACAUAACAUGUUAAAUGAUAUGCAAAUUGUCCUAAUUUCGAAAUAUUAGCAAACCAAUUCCAAAAAUUCUCAAAUUAACUCCUAAAACUCCUAACUGACCCAAGUUUCGAAUUCUGAAAUUAUUUUCAAGUUUCACAUAGUUUCGAAUUUCCUUGAAAUAAAAACUAGAAAAAUUCCAUUUUCACAAAAAUAAUCAAAAACUCUAAUGUAACUCUAUUUGAUUUACAAACUUGCUAAAUAAAACUUUUUCUUAAUUAAUAACUGUUGUAAAAACAGAUUCAAACCUUAAGAAUGAGAGAAUUUUCGGAAAUUUCAAUUUUGACCCAAAAGUUUCGAAAUUUACACAUGCAACCACACUAAAAGUUCAAAAUCACCUUUUUCUUGAAAACCCCUAACAAAUCUGAAAUUCCACUUUAUUAGAUGCAGAAAAAUGAAUUUGAAAAGUCUCUUUAUGCAAAAAUUUCGGAAAUUGCCUAAUUUGCCCCAAAAUCUCUAGAUCUACACAUGCAAGUCUAUUAAAACUUCAAAAUCAACUUUUUCUUACAAAAAUUCUUUAAAUCCGAAAAUCUUGUUCAAUAAAUGCUGGAAAACAGUUUUGAAAACCUUUUUCGGACAAACUUUACAAAAAUUACAGAUUUGGCCCAAACUUUCGAAGAUCUACACAUGCAACCACAAAAAGUUAAAAAUCUCAUUUUCUUGAAAAACCCCUUUUUGAAAUCUGAAAUUCUCAAGGCUUUUGGCCAAUAAAUGCUAUAUCUAACCACUACUAACAUGGAUUAUGCAUGCAAGAACAAGAAUUUAACAAGAACACUCAUUUUCCCAUUUUUCUUCAAAAAGCCCUAAGUUUUCGAAAUCUUUCCCAAUCUUUUAGAAACUUUGAAAAUCCUUUUAAUACUAUUGAUGCCAUUUAAUUGCAGCAGGAAAUCGAAAUUUCUUACCUUUAUGGAAUAGAAAAUAAAAGGAUUCAAGAAGGCUUCAAGAAAUUCUACUAUAGUGGAGAUGUGGGUUUUAUGGAGUUUUUGGAAGAACUCAAGAGAUAUGGCUAUGGAGAUGAUUUAAAGAUGAGAAAUAUUAUCUUGAAGGACUUAUGGUGGAAAGAUGGAAAUUUUGGGUAGUAUUUCUUGGUGGGGUUUGUGGGGAUGCUUUGGCCGAAAGAAAACAAGAGAGAGAGAGAGAAGUGUUCUUCAUAUUCUUGGGUUGGGAGAAUGAUGAAGGUGGGUUACGGUAAUAGGAUAAAAAGAGAGAUAGAAAUAGCUUAGUCAUUCUUACUAGGGGUGAU
rnacentral:lncRNA from 1 species